GUGAUUCAUGACUGGGGUGAAGUCGUAACAAGGUAACCGUAGGGGAACCUGCGGUUGGAUCACCUCCUUACCUUAAAGAAG
rnacentral:rRNA from 1 species